rnacentral:rRNA from 1 species
CUGCUGCCUUCCGUAGGAGUUUGGGCCGUGUCUCAGUCCCAAUGUGGCCGUCCACCCUCUCAGGCCGGCUACUGAUCGUCGCCUUGGUGGGCCGUUACCCCGCCAACAAGCUAAUCAGACGCGGGUCCAUCUUAUACCACCGGAGUUUUUCACACUGGGCCAUGCAGCCCCGUGCGCUUAUGCGGUAUUAGCACCUAUUUCUAAGUGUUAUCCCCCUGUAUAAGGCAGGUUACCCACGCGUUACUCACCGUCCGCCACUAAGA